AUACGGAAGGUCCGGGCGUUAUCCGGAUUUAUUGGGUUUAAAGGGUGCGUAGGCGGUUUGCUAAGCGGGAGGUGAAAUGCCGGCGCUCAACGUCGGAAGUGCCUCCCGAACUGGGGGACUGGAAUGACUCUGCCGUGGGAGGAAUGUGUAGUGUAGCGGUGAAAUGCUUAGAGAUUACACAGAACACCGAUUGCGAAGGCAUCUCACGAAGGGUUGAUUGACGCUGAGGCACGAAAGCGUGGGGAUCAAACAGGAUUAGAUACCCUGGUAGUCCACGCAGUAAACGAUGAUGGCUAACCGCUGGUUUAUUCGGAUCAGUGGCCAAGCGAAAGCGAUAAGCCAUCCACCUGGGGAGUACGACCGCAAGGUUGAAACUCAAAUGAAUUGACGGGG
rnacentral:rRNA from 1 species